UUAGAGUUUGAUCCUGGCUCAGGACGAACGCUGGCGGCGCGCCUAACACAUGCAAGUCGAACGAGCGAGAGAGAGCUUGCUUUCUUGAGCGAGUGGCGAACGGGUGAGUAACGCGUGAGGAACCUGCCUCAAAGAGGGGGACAACAGUUGGAAACGACUGCUAAUACCGCAUAAGCCCACAGCUCGGCAUCGAGCAGAGGGAAAAGGAGCAAUCCGCUUUGAGAUGGCCUCGCGUCCGAUUAGCUAGUUGGUGAGGUAAUGGCCCACCAAGGCGACGAUCGGUAGCCGGACUGAGAGGUUGAACGGCCACAUUGGGACUGAGACACGGCCCAGACUCCUACGGGAGGCAGCAGUGGGGAAUAUUGCACAAUGGGGGAAACCCUGAUGCAGCGACGCCGCGUGGAGGAAGAAGGUCUUCGGAUUGUAAACUCCUGUUGUUGAGGAAGAUAAUGACGGUACUCAACAAGGAAGUGACGGCUAACUACGUGCCAGCAGCCGCGGUAAAACGUAGGUCACAAGCGUUGUCCGGAAUUACUGGGUGUAAGGGAGCGCAGGCGGGAAGACAAGUUGGAAGUGAAAUCCAUGGGCUCAACCCAUGAACUGCUUUCAAAACUGUUUUUCUUGAGUAGUGCAGAGGUAGGCGGAAUUCCCGGUGUAGCGGUGGAAUGCGUAGAUAUCGGGAGGAACACCAGUGGCGAAGGCGGCCUACUGGGCACCAACUGACGCUGAGGCUCGAAAGUGUGGGUAGCAAACAGGAUUAGAUACCCUGGUAGUCCACACUGUAAACGAUGAUUACUAGGUGUUGGAGGAUUGACCCCUUCAGUGCCGCAGUUAACACAAUAAGUAAUCCACCUGGGGAGUACGACCGCAAGGUUGAAACUCAAAGGAAUUGACGGGGGCCCGCACAAGCAGUGGAGUAUGUGGUUUAAUUCGACGCAACGCGAAGAACCUUACCAAGUCUUGACAUCCUGCGACGGUUCUGGAAACAGAACUUUCCUUCGGGACGCAGAGACAGGUGGUGCAUGGUUGUCGUCAGCUCGUGUCGUGAGAUGUUGGGUUAAGUCCCGCAACGAGCGCAACCCUUAUGGUCAGUUACUACGCAAGAGGACUCUGGCCAGACUGCCGUUGACAAAACGGAGGAAGGUGGGGAUGACGUCAAAUCAUCAUGCCCUUUAUGACUUGGGCUACACACGUACUACAAUGGCGUUAAACAAAGAGAAGCAAGACCGCGAGGUGGAGCAAAACUCAGAAACAACGUCCCAGUUCGGACUGCAGGCUGCAACUCGCCUGCACGAAGUCGGAAUUGCUAGUAAUCGCAGAUCAGCAUGCUGCGGUGAAUACGUUCCCGGGCCUUGCACACACCGCCCGUCA
rnacentral:rRNA from 1 species